AAAAGAUGAAGAUUGUAGAGCAAGAUAACGAUUGACAGACGACUUAAAAGAUUGCAAGUUAUAUGAAUCAGGAAAGCAAGAUGAAGGAAGCAAAUUCUAAAGAUGUUUCUAGAAUUCUAAGAAUUAAAGAAUUCUAAAGAAUUCUAAAAACUGAUGUUCGAGGAAAAAAACUAGACGAAUAAGAGUUUUUGGAGCACUUAGGAACAGUAACAGAAAAAGGAUGAGACUUAAUUGAAUGACGAGUAACUCAAGAAUGAAUUUUAGUCGAUGACGCAAGAGACGCUAGGUCUUUAGAGCAGUGUCCCAUUAAAGUAUUUAUAGAAAAGAGAAAGAGAAGCAACAUUACGGCGAAGUGACAAAGGUUGAAGGUUGGCUGCAAUAUAAAUUUUGCAUACAUACACAUACCAUUCUGAGAGAGAGAAGCCUUUACGGUCCUAUCACAGAGCAGAUGAGCAUUUAAUUGGAAGUUCACGCCUUCUUCCUAACUGAUGUCGCAAAACUUGACCAGUGAUGGUGUUUGAACCACGGAUCCUUUGUUUAUGUAGCAAACGCGUCUCAAGUGUAGUUGAUUGUAAAUUGAUUAAAUUAUACAACGCAUAAUUUAUUUAAAAAUCAGAUGUAGGAGAUCUUAAGCACAUUUACGCGCUUGUUAAUGAUUAGAGAAAAUUAGAUAAAAGUUCAAAGUUAAAUCUAUUCAACUUGCUAUGACAUUUUCGUUAAUACCUUGUGGCUAAAAUUUACGUCACAAUCGAACAAUCGGUAUUAAAUUACCUUCACACAUUUUAUGUGAGUCGUACUCGCACCAGACUUCUGUUUUAUAGCAGGUAAGGUAUUAGCUCCCAUUUUUAUUUUUAAAAAGUUGAAAACUAAAAUGAAAGUAUUUUUACUUGCUUUGUUUUUUUUACUUUUUUUUUUAAAAAAGUUUCAUGUUGUUUGCUAAAUAAAUAUUGUUAAAAAAUCAAAUUGUUAAUAAUUUAUUGCAAAUUACCUUGCUUAUUAAAUGGAUAAGUUACACAUUUUUGUUAAUGAAACAAAAAAAUUACAUAAAGAUGAUGAAAAAUAAAGUUAACUUAUUUGAUUUAUUUAGCUCCCUCAACCUGUUUUACGAGUCUUCAUUUUUGUUUUGUAAAAAAAAAAGAGUCAAAACCCUCUAAUAAGCACUAAGUGUGCGUAAAAAUUGCCCAUUUUUCUUUUCUUUUACUAUUUUAAAAAUUUUAGAAAACGGUGAGCACAAAAUUGUAAUUUUUUUUAAUUUAAAAAAAAAUGAAAAUAAUAAUAAAAAUUACAAGUCUGCUUAUUUCAAAAAGAAAUAAAAAAAAUUUGGUAUGGUCAUACUAGUCACCAGGUUUUGAGUUUUCGAUUUAGUAAACUAAUUUAAAUUUCAAAAAGUAAUUCUAGAAAAUUGCCCGUUAGCAACCGUUGUUAUAGUUAUCACAAAAUAAACAACCAUUGUAACCCAUGAAAUAUGAACAGUUUACUUUUUUUGAGCGUAGAUAUUUAUUUUUUUAGAUUCCUCAUAAAAAUUUUGUCGCUACUUUACUAAUAUUAUAAAAUCGAAAAAAAAUAACAAAUUUUUACUUAUUUAAUGGUGGAGAAGUAUUUUUAAUACCGCCUCGAAAGCAAUAUUAAAAAAUUUUAUGAUUUCAAAAUGAAGCAAUUCCUUUAUUUAACAAGCCGUAUAGAAUUAACUUAUAAUAUUAUUCAAUUACGACCAAUGAAACUUUCUAUAAAAGCAUAUUAAAACUUAUUUGACGACUUUAUGGAUAACAAAUACAAUAACUUAUAUAAAAACUUAAAAUAAAAAUAUAAAUAAAAUAAAAUAAAUAGUACAAUGACGUCUACUAACAAAUACAAUGACGUCUACUAAAGUUGUUUAAAGAUUUAAUGUAACGAUAAUUAUAAAAAAAUUAAUGAAUUUGGUCAAAACAAUCACCAUCAGCAAUAUAACUGUCAUUUAUUAAACAAGUUGCUACGAUACAAUUCGUACAUAACAUUGCAAUAAAAAUAAACAUAGGUACACUAAUCUUAAGUAACUUUGUGUAACUUAUAUAUUCGCUAGUUCAUCCAUUUUGCUAUUUUUAAUUCAAUUUUGAUACAAGCAAAAAUAUAUUUUUUUGUUCACGAUUUAAAGAUAUAUAAACAAUAAUGGCACUCUACAAAAAGCGUUCCACCAAAUGUAUUUGUACAGAUAUAUACAGAUAUAUACCAUGUAUUACCUCAACUAUCAUUUGCUAAAUUUUUGCUAAAAGUGCCAAGCUUAAGUAAAUUCAUGGUGUUACAUUAGAAUGUUCAGAAAAAAAAUUAAAGCAACCUCCCCACUUAGGAGAGAGUGUAAAUUCUACAUAAAUAUUGUUUUUGAACAACAAAAAAUUAGUUUAUAAUUUUAAAACCUAUUGAAAAAUUUAAAUUCAGUUUUAGAUAUAUGCAUAAAAAAGAAAGUAUAAUAUUUCCCAGUGGGCACCGGACCUAAAUAGACGUUUAAAAGACGUUCAAAAGACGUCUAAAACGAUUAUAAGACGUUUAAAAGACGUCUUUUUUACGUCUGAGCCCACUGGUUUGUUCCCACAAUUGGGGUAGGGGUGACAGUCGUUUUAAGUUACUUUUUUUUUAGGCUCAAACCAAAAUAAUUUUAUCUUUUUAAUCUAUUUAUAACCAGUUGCAGUUAUACGUAUAUUAAACAUACAUUAAGAAAUUUAAAUAUGAAGUGAUAAAUUUUUUACGUCUUAAAAUUAAUAGUUGUUUAAACUGUCUCAUCUUAGUUUUUAGAUAAAACAAAAAAUACAUUUAUACAAAAAAACUGAAAAAAUUAAACA
rnacentral:lncRNA from 1 species